rnacentral:misc_RNA from 1 species
UUUCCGUCGGUGAACCUGCGGAAGGAUCAUUCAUAAUAAGUGUUUUAUGGCACUUUUUUAAAUCCAUAUCCACCUUGUGUGCAAUGUCAGGGUUGAUUUUUCUCUCGAGAGGAUCAACCCCAAACAUCAACUAUAUCCCGACUCUCUGUCUGAAAAAUAUUAUUGAUGAAACAAUUCAAAAUACAACUUUCAACAACGGAUCUCUUGGCUCUC